GUACAGGACUUUACCAAUUUAUUAUUACGGUGAAACUAAUUAAUCUACGUCUACGCAGGAUUUUAGAUUUAUUGAACUUCAGCUUAGCCUAGGCAGACGGAGUAUAGGUUCUGAAGUUGUGGUUGGAAUUACAUUUCGUUUGUUUGUCUUAUCUAAAUAAUAGUUGAAUGUCGUUGUGUCCAUCACCGCGUCACCGCCCGAUUCCAGAAGGCUGCCGUCAAAGCGACGAUUCUAUUAUUGUACACUCAUAUUUAUAAAUGUGGAUAAUAUUUGGUGUGAAAGAGGCGUGGCCUCGCGUAGGCGAUCGUCGGCCGGAGACAGUUUCGUGGGGCGAGUCAGUUUUCUGGAGCGACUUGUCAAGUGCAGAGCCGGUGCCGUCUGCAACAUGCCCAACCACGAGACGACAAGCCUCAUCGCUACCUACCUCAUCCUGGUGCUGCUGCUGGCCAGCCUCUGGUUGCUCUACUCCGGGAUGUUCUGAGGUGUGGCGGGUAUAACUCAAGAGACCAAUGAAGCAGGUGAAUAGUAAAAAAAAACUAAAAUGAAUGUAACAUGAGAGCCGUAAUUUUAGUAUCUAAGUUAUUAAGUUAAGUAAUGUCACAUACCCAAGCAUUUAAAUAUCCAUUAAACCGGAAGAACAUCGAAGGAAAUUCAGCUCAAAACUGCCAGAAGACCAUAACGAGUAAACCGCAGGAAAGACCACAGAUACGGACGGCGCUGGGCAUUCCAAUUUAACCCAAACUCUUGACCAACGAGGCCUAGGCCGCUAGCAAAUUAAACACAACGAGAAAGACAUCUUCGUAAAGCUUCAAAUUAACUUGAACGACACGUUUUAAUUUUUUUAUUUCUAGUUUGUAAUCGUUGCUCGAUGCGUAUCAACCUGUCUUUAGAUUAUCUUUAUGGUGUAAGAGUUUUGUAAUAAACUUUUUUU